rnacentral:lncRNA from 1 species
GCUACUUAACAUCACUAGCUUUUUGGGAAUGAUGAUAAUGAGCUAGCAAUAAGUGAUUGAAGAAGCAGUGCUGUAGAAACCUUGGAGCCAAAUGCAUUCUAGUAGUUUUGCAUGAAUGACAUGAAUUAAAAGUUUAACUUCAUUGUUACUAAACGUGAUAGGACUCAAAGUUUAUGUUUGAGUAUAAACUUCAUUGAAACUAACCCGCAGUUCUAGUAUAGACUUCUUGAAACCAGUUGAGGAAGAGUUACUUCCCUUUUAUACAGGAGAGGGAUAAGUUAUGAAGCUUCCUGAACUACCUGUAGCGCAAAUUGGACCAGUUGAGGAAGAGUUACUUCCCUUUUAUACAGGAGAGGGAUAAGUUAUGAAGCUUCCUAUAUCUGGAGCUACUUAACAUCACUAGCUUUUUGGGAAUGAUGAUAAUGAGCUAGCAAUAAGUGAUUGAAGAAGCAGUGCUGUAGAAACCUUGCAGCCAAAUGCGUUCUAGUAGUUUUGCAUGAAUGACAUGAAUUAAAAGUUUAACUUCAUUGUUACUGUGAGAAAGCACGAGAGAAAAAUAUAAUUGGUAUUAAACAUAAUACAAUGAGCCCUAUGUAUAUACACAUAACCUAUCCUACUCCUAAUAAACAUUGGAUUAGGCUACUCCUAAUACACAUUGGAUUAGGGUUCUACUAUUACAUAUUCUAACA